rnacentral:piRNA from 1 species
UCCAAGAACAAACUUAACCUUUCUUAGGAAG